rnacentral:rRNA from 1 species
AGAUUGAACGCUGGCGGCAUGCCUUACACAUGCAGGUCGAGCGGCAGCGCGGGGGCAACCCUGGCGGCGAGCGGCGAACGGGUGAGUAAUACAUCGGAACGCGUCCUUUCGUGGGGGAUAACCAGUCGAAAGACUGGCUAAUACCGCAUGAGAUCUCACGAUGAAAGCGAGGGACCGCAAGGCCUCGCGCGAUUGGAGCGGCCGAUGUCGGAUUAGCUAGUUGGCGGGGUAAAAGCCCACCAAGGCGACGAUCCGUAGCUGGUUUGAGAGAACGACCAGCCACACUGGGACUGAGACACGGCCCAGACUCCUACGGGAGGCAGCAGGUGGGGAAUUUUGGACAAUGGGCGCAAGCCUGAUCCAGCCAUGCCGCGUGUGUGAAGAAGGCCUUCGGUUGUAAGCUACUUUCGGCCGGAACGAAUACGCGCGGUUAAUACGUCCGCGUGGAGUGACGGUACCGAAGAAGAAGCGACGCUAACUACG